rnacentral:rRNA from 1 species
CGGUUGAUCCUGCCGGAGGCCACUGCUAUUGGGAUUCGACUAAGCCAUGCGAGUCGAGAGGGUUCGGCCCUCGGCUGACGGCUCAGUAACACGUGGAUAAUCUGCCCUAGGGUGGAGGAUAAUCUCGGGAAACUGAGAAUAAUACUCCAUAGAUCUAGGAUGCUGGAAUGCACCUAGAUUGAAAGCUCCGGCGCCCUAGGAUGAGUCUGCGGACUAUCAGGUAGUAGUCAGGGUAAUGACCUGACUAGCCUACGACGGAUACGGGUUGUGAGAGCAAUAACCCGGAGACGAUAUCUGAGACACGAUAUCGGGCCCUACGGGGCGCAGCAGGCGCGAAAACUUCACACUGUGCGAAAGCACGAUGAGGGAAUCCCAAGUGCCAGCUCGUAAGAGUUGGCUGUUUCUCUGUCUAAAAAACAGAGAGAGUAAGAGCUGGGUAAGACGGGUGCCAGCCGCCGCGGUAAUACCUGCAGCUCAAGUGGUGGCCACUAUUAUUGGGCCUAAAACGUCCGUAGCCGGUUUAGUAAAUGCCCGGGUAAAUCGUGUAGCUCAACUAUACGAAUUCCGGGUAGACUGCUAGACUUGAGACCGGGAGAAGCUAGAGGUACUCCUGGGGUAGAGGUGAAAUUCUGUAAUCCUAGGGGGACCACCAGUGGCGAAGGCGUCUAGCUAGAACGGGUCUGACGGUGAGGGACGAAGCCCUGGGGCGCAAACCGGAUUAGAUACCCGGGUAGUCCAGGGUGUAAACGCUGCUUGCUUGAUGUUAGUCGGGCUCCGAGCCCGAUUAGUGUCGGAAAGAAGUUGUUAAGCAAGCUGCCUGGGAAGUACGGCCGCAAGGCUGAAACUUAAAGGAAUUGGCGGGGGAGCAC